AAUUAAUGCAAAAAGGCUCAAGCUUCUGUGCCCCUGGGAAAUGGCAGAGGAAGACAGCUUCAGCCUCAGAGCACACAGCACUGAGUUGUAAGAAACAGGUCUCAUCAUCCCCUUGGCCAGCAGAUUUUCACCCUGGGCCCACUAAGAAGCCUGCCAGGGGGUCCUCUGUUGUCUGGACCCUGAGGCUUCAUCCUCAAUGUGUUGGAGCCUAGGAGAGAGGAUUAGAGUUAUGCGGUAGGUGUGGGAGUUGUGUUUGAUGGGCUAGGAGUUGGGUGAGGAGGGAUCCUCAGUUUUGGGUAAAGGCAAAAAGGCAAGGAAGCCAGGAAAAAGCAAGGAGUUGGAAUAAAGACAGAGUGUGGGAGAAAGAGAGUGAGCUGGGUACAGGGGUGGGAGCAGAUGUAGAAGGAGGAGGACAGAGAAUCUGACUCAGGAUUGAGACAGCCCGUGGGAAGUGGAUCCCUAGCGUAGGAACAGGAGAGAGCCAGAGAGGAGAGGUAAGAGGGGGCAAGAUUCGGGGGUUAAGUAGAGGCAAGCCGGCAGGCAAGCACUGCAUGGCUAGUUGAGAAUGGAAAGGGGACGUGGUGAUCUAGGAAGUUUCUGUUUAAAGGCAGAGAGUGUAUGGUCAGGCAGGGGCUGUAUCUAUUUUCUUGUUUGUUUAUUCUGUUGUUUGUUUGUUUGUUUGUUUUGAGACAGAGUUUCCCAACGGUGCAGUCUCUACUCACCGCAACCUCUGCCUCCCGGGUUCAAGCAAUUCUCCUGCCUCAUUCUCUUGGGUAGCUGGGAUUACAAGCAUGCGCCACCACUCCCAGCUAAUUUUGUAUUUUUAGUAGAGAUGGGGUUUCUCCAUGUUGGUCAGGCUGGUCUCGAACUCCUGACCUCAGGUGAUCCGCCCAGCUCAGCUUCCCAAAGUCCUGGGAUUCCAGGCAUAAGCCACUGCGCCUGGCCUGUUUCUAUUUUCUUUUGCCAGGCAGGUUAUGUUAUACUGGGGUUUCUUGCUGAGGUCUGUCCUGGGACUGUCUGAGGUGUCACAAAGAGCCCACAGGUACAGACGAGAAAUUUGAAAGUGAAUCCAGACGCAGCAGAUGACAGCAAGAUGGGACUCCAAGUUCUCUUUCUAGAAAUUACAAGCUGCUCCGCUACCCACACAUGUAGCUCAUUCUCCCUGUGGCCAAGACACUCCUGUGCCUGAGGGAAAGGCAAUGCCUGCGGCAGAAACGGAGCGGUCCCCCAGCCAGGGGAGAGAGUGGCACCUAGUAUGGUACCCAAUGCUCUAAGGCAUGGAGCUGAUUGACUGCUGACUGUAGACCAGCCACUCACCACAGUGUAGGUUGGAAGCCUUCUAAGGCCGUGCGUUCUGCAGAGUCAGCCCAUGAUGGGGCCAGGAGUGUGGGCUCCAGUGUCACCCCCUUGGGAUUUAAUCCUGGCUGCACCUCUGGGGGCCUUGGUCAAGGGAGAAGCAGUGAUGUUUUAGUAUCCAGAAAGUGGAAAUAACCCAAAUGCCCAUCAACAGCAGAAUGAAAUUGUACUAUAUUCACACCAUGGAAUAUUGUAUAGCAAAGAGAAUGAAUGAACUAUUAACAGAAAAGACAUGGACAAAUCUCAUAAACAUGAUGCUGAAAGAAACCACAGUCAAAAAAGUACAUUAUUUUGUGAUUCCAUUUAUAUAUAGUGGGAAAAGGAAGCAACAUUAAUUUAUGGUGUUAGAAGUUAGGAUAGUGGUUACCCUUAGGGGUAGUGACUGAAAGAGAACAUGAGAGGGGUAUUGGGGGUACCGUGAUGUUUUGGUUCUUCAUCUGGGUGCUAGUUGCAUGGGGUUGCUCACUUUAUGAAAUACCAUUGAGUGGUAUGCUUUUGACCUGUGCACUGCUCUGCAUGUGUGAUAUACUUCAAAAUGAAACAUUAAGAUACAGGAGGAAGGACAUAGUCUCAAAGCAAAGGACAGUUUUUUUGUUGUUGUUUGUUUGUUUGUUUUAUUUUGUUUUGAGACAGAGUCUUGCUCUGUUGCCCAGGCUGGAGUGCAGUGGCGGGAUCUCGGCUCACUGCAACCUCUGCCUCCCAAAUUCAAGCAAUUCUCCUGCCUCAGCCUCCCGAGUAGCUGGGAUUACAGGCGUGCACCACCAGACCGGCUAAUUUUUGUAUUUUCAGUAGAGACAGGGUUUCACCAUGUUGGCCAGGCUGGUCUUGAACUCCUGACCUCAGGUGAUCUGCCUGCCUCAGCCUCCCAAAGUUCUGGGAUUACAGAUGUGAGCCACCAUGCCCAGCCAGAACAAGUCUUUAAAAACUAAAUUUAACUUUAUGAACAGUUUUACGAAAAAUGUACUAUAUUUGUCCACAUUUUCCUCAUCUCUCCUUGAAGCAGUGUAAAUUGCUUUAAGACAGGGUUCUGGGGCUAUGCCAAUGUCAGUGGGAAAAGAAAACAGGGGUGACAAGACUGGCAUCAACUGAUGCUGUGAGGAACAGGCCAGCUCUUUAAGGAAGGUGCCUCUCAUCUGCUCCUGGCUUCUGUGCUCAUAGUUCACACUCACGGUGUUGUGUGCAUGUCUAGGAAGAUGCUUCCCAACCUUUUGCAGACCAUGGCAUACGCAGAAAAUGACAACAUCGGAAUGGCACACUGGCAUACCAGUUGGGGAUCCUUGCAGUCAAUGCUGACUGGACUCAUCCUUCAGCCGCCCCCAAGAAGAGAGAGAUCAAUACCUUGGCACAUCUGUGGGAAAGCUCCCAUUAGAGAGUGUGGGGAAGACACAGGCCUCCACAACACAUUUCAGGUUCUCUAAACUGGCAAAGGGGAAGAGUCUGGGCUUCCUUUGCCCUUUUGUUCUCAAAGAGCCCAGCUGUGCACACCCCUCACCCCUGCACUAUAGCUCCCAUUUGGGUAGUGAAAAAUCACAGGACUCAGGGGAGUUAUGCAGCAUUCGGGAAUGGAGACCUGGAAAGCCACACACUCCUCCUUGCUUUCCUGUGAGCCUCUCUUCUUGCUGUCCCCUUUACAACCAACAGUCCCUGCAGGGGGAAGACACUCUGCUUUAGUCAGUUCCACCUCCCUUCCAGAUCUCAUCCUCCUUUCAGCCUAAUUUUCCUCACACUGUCAUGCUCCUUCCCACUGCUCGCCCCCCACCCCCUACUCUCCUCCAGCACAUCACACAUUGCGCCUGGGCACACUGAGCUUGUCUGCCAUCUAUGAAGAGGCCCAUGUCACCCAAGCCCUUCUCUUUCCCUGUCAUGCCAUAGCCUCUUCCAGGAGCGCUCAGCCUGCUGUUUCUGCUCAGACCUCCCCUCCUCUGCAAAGCCUCCUUCUGCGUGCUGCCCGAGAGCCAUCCCCCACUUGGGUUUGUGUUACUGCUGUGUAUGGCAGCAUCUUCACUGUGCCUGAUUUCCCGUCUUGGCCCAUCGUAGGUGCUCAACAAUUGUUUCUCAAAUGACCAGCGCCUGCAGAGGGACCCUGACAUGAACUCCACCCCACCCCGACUCUUGGCAGUUACUCACUGUCCCCUUGAGUCGGGAUCCCAGCCCCUCAGGGGACCUGUCUUGCAGCCAUUCCACGCUCUGUCACCCCACUGCCAGGAGACUAGAGCCACACUGCCUGGAUGACGCUCAUCUUUACCAGCUCGCAGCUCUGCCAGCUGCCUGCUCAGGGGUGGCCGCCAGCUGAGGGAUUGAGCUGAUUAUAGGUGAAUCAGCACCAGGCUGAUUGUGGUGUGAAAAAGGGGAAGGGUGACUGUGUCUUAGCCUCAAUCCUGGCUCCCCUCCUUCCAGCCCUGACCUGCAGUAACAGCACAGGGCCACCAGAGGCUCUAUUGGGCGACUCAUGCCCCGCGGAGAAAGGCCCAGUAGGAGAGCAUCUGACCCAGUUCCCAGCAGAUGAGAAAGGAAGAAGAGUUCAGGAGGCUUCUACUCUCAGAGGUCUCCAGCACUGAAACCCCGCAGCCGCACCUGGCUGCCUUAUCCUUGUGUUUUGCCCCUCAUGGGUCUAGAAGCUGUUGUGUUACACCUUAACAUCUUCCUCCUUGCUUGCCAUGAGCCCCUCUGCUUGCAGCCCCCUUUACAGAACAACAGUCAUGGUAGAGGGAAGAUGUCUCCACUUUUGUCAGUUCUGCCUCCUUUAGGAGAGUGUCAGGCCUAACCCAUGUGUGCUCUGUCUUUCAGGGCAUGGAAAAGACUAUUGUCCUGUUUCGUCUUUUCAACACCUCUUGACUCUCUCCCCCUGGUUUCCUAACAGCCAGCUAGGUUCAGGGCCUCCCAUCUCUGGCCAGGAUUAGUGCAAUGGCUUUCUGAAGGGUCCCAGGCUCCAGGGAGCCCCUUGCCCAUCAAGUCUCUACCCUGGAGCCAGACAGCCCUUACUUCCAUCAGACAUCAGCCUCCAGUGGCUCCGAAAGGCCAGGCAUCCACACAGCACCCCACGGCCCCAAGAACUGGCUGCUUGAUUUUCCUGCCCUGUGUCCCUCCUCUCCUUGGCCCUCUACCCAGCAAUCACCCCAAAACACUGUGAUGUUUCAAGCCUUUGUACUUUGCACACAUUCUUCUCCAUGGCCUAAUUCCCUCUCUCCACCCCUCACUCCACACCUCCUCCACCUUUACCCUUUCUCCCCAUUCUUUCUUCACCGGGCACAGCCCUACUUAUCCUUCAAAACUGCCACUUCCUCUGCGAAGCCUUUCCUGACCCGUGUCCCAGAAUCCCUCCUCUGAACAAAUCCUGUUCCCUAAACAUGCAUCUCUCAUUGUAUCUGUCACUCAAGGGUUGCAAUAAUUACACACACGCCUGUCCUUUGUCCUCCACUGGCUCUGUACCUCCAUGUGGGACCCAUGGCCAGCACACAUUGGUGGUGCCCGAAAGCUGUUGCACUGGAGUUGUUCCUUCUGCCCCAUCACCUCCCACCUUGAACAAGUCCUUUAGAUGACCUGAACUCCAGUUUGUUGAUCUGCAAAAUGGAGAGAUGUGAGAAUCAGAAGAGAACACGUAAUGAAAGGGUGUUAUAAACUGCUAAGGGCUGUACAAAUGUUUGUAUUGCAUUUUUGUCUUCCAGACUAGUGUUUACCUACACUUGCCUGUGUGGAAAUCAGAAGAUUAAAGGAAUGCGAUGUGAUCUUUUUGUAAUUUCCCCACUUGGGUCAAGGGAAAAGCUGGUCAAGAGUAAACCAUUAAUUCAUCCCCCUGCAGGCCCCCCAAUCUUCCCUAGAAUUCUGGGUUAAUGAUUCUGAGGUUGUUUUCCUCACAGAGCCAAUUCAUAUCUAAUCUUUGGCAUGUUCCCCCCUUUAUUAAGAAUAACUUGACUCACCCCAUUAAUUCCUCAUCCUGGGGUCACGAGCCUUGUUUUGCAGAAGGAAAUGGUGGCUGUGUGUAUGUCUUGGGCCUUCUUUCUUUCUCAAACCCCUUUCUUUCAUGGAUUCAUGCCUACAAUUCCCUCUGUGGACAGAAGAGACCUCUCCUUACCUGCAUAAUGAAAUGUGUGACUUUUCUCAAAAGUAGCUUUAGGAAUUAACUGUGGAGGUCCAAGUAGCAAGGAUGCUGUGACCUAACUCGUUACCCCCUCACGUGUGGUUUGGAAUCCCAGCAGAAAAAAUUUCCUGAAGAUCUGGUACGGAGAAACCAUUCUGGGCCUGGCUUUUAAAUGUUUUAUUAGCAGCUGGGCGAGGACUGGGCUGCAAAGAGAUGCAGCCCCCGUCAGAAGCGAUCCCUGUUGGGGAGCAAGGCCUGGAAUUCCAGGAGGGAGGUCUGUUUAUAGCUGAGGCAGAGGCUGGGGAGCGAAGCCUGGGAGCCAGACAUGGCUUAAGGGUGGUCUGGACACUCUUGAGAUAAGGCCAACUAAGGACUAUGAGCUCAUUGAAGUUCCAAAGCCAACUCACAGCAGCUCACCACCAGACAUGUCCCCUGCCCCCACAUUCCCUCCUCUCAAUCCAGGAAUUUUGGUGCUCAUCUCUAUAAAGUUUUAGACCAUGGUGGUAGGAACCUGGUAAGUCUCAGGUUCUUGCAUUGCCCGAUUCUCCUUGGAUUUGCUGGGUUUGCCUCCUUCCCAUGUCUCAGACAGGGCUUUGCAUAAAGAAGUGGGCUGGUAGAUCUGCAAAGGUCCCUCUGUGUGACUGGAGCAAGUUACCCUCUUGAGCCUCAGUGUCCUCUUCUGUAAAAUAGGGAUAUCAUUCUUUCUUUCCCAAGGCUUUUGGUAAUAAUGUCAUUCUCAUGUGAUUCUUAACAAAAUGGGCCUUUCAGACUUAGAUCACUUUUGUGCAUGCAUAAAAAUGAAAGCAUUGAGGAGAAGGAAUUGGUGAAUAUAUGUCUGGAGCAAUAACUUCAUCAGAACUGCCACGGUGGUUGUAGGACCAUUCUGAUUCCAGAGGUAUUAAAAUGCAAAACACAAUGUUGAAAUGCAAAACCCAACAAAAUAAUAAACAGCCUUGUACCUACCGCCUCCCUUAAGAACUAAAACAAUUCCCAACACCACUGAAAGACUGUGUUCACCUCCUUGAUCCAAUCUCUUGCCUUUCCACCCCAGAGAAAACCACUGUCCUGAAUUUUUUCCCACUCCCUUGGUUUUGUUUUACCAAACAUGUAUCCAAUAUGUAACAUAUUAUUUGUAUUUGAUCUUGUUUUUGAAUUGUCCUGUAGGUAGAAUUAUAUCUUAUUCUGCAAUUUGCUUUUUAAAGUUUUUGAAAGAGCAAAACUUAUCUAUGCUAAUACGCUAAUGUGUGUAGCUGCCAUUUAUUUGUCACUGCAUAUACCCCUCUCAAUUCUGUUGAUGGAAAUUUAGGCAGUUUCCAGUAUUAUUUUGCUACAAACAUUCUCAUGGCUG
rnacentral:lncRNA from 1 species